UUGUGCAUCCAACAAUUUGAAAAUUAAAUCUCUCGUUUCUAUAUAAGUUUUGAAAUGAAUAAAACAUUUCAACCACAUUUAUAUGUUAUUCCUAUCACCCAUGCUGACUCAUGAAACAAGCUCUUUAUCUGUAUAAACCUCGAAUAUAUAGCGCACAAUCAUGCUCAAUACUUUAUCACGUUGCGGAAGUUUCGAAUAAAAGCUCGUGCGUAACCAAUCAGGAUAUGAUUUCAACCGCAAAUUAACAGUGACAAAACGGAAAGGAGAACGGGAAACCACACCGAUGGGACCUAAGUUGUACAUAUAUACAUAAAUGCUGCUAUACUUAAUUAUAGAAACCAGUCGUUAUUUGUACUUUGCAUUUUGAUAUUGUAAGCGUAUAUUAAAGAAGAAAAAAACAAUCUAACGCCAGUUUAUUUAAUCUUGUUCAACGUCUAUUUAAUUUGGAAUUUGAAAGAGUUUGAAAGAUUGGAUAGAGUGCUUGUAAUAAUGGCACCAGCACGUUUAUUGCUAUUGAUUCUCGUGUCGAUAAUGUUAAUAUUCGCAUGUGAAGGACGGCCGUUAACUUUUCCUAAUAGAAACCGAGUACAGACGAAAUGUCCACCAGGCUACAGGCCCGUUCGUAAUGGAUGCAGAAAAAUUUGGACAUUUGACAUUUAUUAAAAUUUAUAAUUUACGUGUCAUAUCGCUUCUUGCAUGAGAAUAAUACUACCAGCAACAUCGCGGGAUAAACAUUUGCCAUGCACAGAUGUCAUGUGCAUAAUAAUUAAUAAUUACAUCAAAUUAAAUUUUUUAUUAUAAUUUACAUUUUAUUGCUUUGAAUGACGAUUUAAAAUGCGUAUAUAUAUAUUCUCUGUAUAUAUUAAUAGUACCACGCAUUGGAAAUAAUUACUUUAAGGAAAAUUAAACACUUACCGUCUGUUAUAAGUCCACAUUAUAUACAUUUCUAAUUUGUAUAUACCAUGUAAAUGGUAUAUGGAGUAUUAUUUUAAUAAACAAAAUAAUAUUAAAGAAA